GGUUUGAUCAUGGUCUGUGAUUGAACGCUGGCGGGAUGCUUUACACAUGCAAGUCGAACGGUGCAGUGGUUUGACUUCGGUCUGUGGCGAGUGGCGGAACGGGUGAGUAAUGUCGGAACGUGCCUAGUAGCGGUGGAGACACCGAAGCGUAGCUAAUACCGCAUACCUUCGGGGAAAGCGUCGGGACCUUCUUGGCCUCUAAUUAGAGCGGCCGAUAUCGGAUUAGCUAGUUGGUGGGGUAACGGCUCACCAUGACGAUCUGCAGCUGGUUUGAGGACGACCAGCCACACUGGGACUGAGACACGGCCCAGACUCCUACGGAGGCAGAAAUGGGGAAUUUUGGACAAUGGGGAAACUCCUGAUCUUAGCCAUCCCGGGAGGGGGCAUGGGUUGCCUUCGGGUUGUAAAGCACUUCUUUGGCAGGAGAAGAAACGGUAUCAGAUAAUACCCCGUGCAACUGAUGGUACUGCAGAAUAAGCACCGCUAACUACGUGCCAGCAGCCGCGGUAUACUAGGUGCAAGCGUUAAUCGGAAUUACUGGGCGUGAAGGUGCAGGGUGGUUCUAGGGUUGAAAGACGAACCCCGUGUUUAAUCUGGAACUGCAUUUUUAACUACCGAGUAGGGAGCGUCAGGGAGGGAGGUGGAAUUCCGCGUAGCAGUGAAAUGCGAGAUAUGCGGAGGAAACACCGAGCCACGUAAAGGCAGCCUCCGGGAUAACACUGACGCUCAUGCAUGAAAGCGUGAGCAAAACAGGAUUAGAUACCCUGGUAGUCCACGCCCUAAACGAUGUCAACUAGCUGUUGGGGCCUCUCUUCUCGGGCCUUGGUAGCGCAGCUAAUCAUGUGAAGCUGACCUGGCUCUUGGGGAGUACGGUCGCAAGAUUAAAACUCAAAGGAAUUGACGGGGACCCGCACAAGCGGUGGACAGAUGUGGAUUAAUUCGAUGCAACGCGAAAAACCUUACCUACCCUUGACAUGUCUGAAUCCCGAAGAGAUUUGGAGGUUUUGCAAGAGAACCGGAACACAGGUGCUGCAUGGCUGUCGUCAGCUCGUGUCGUGAGACGUUUGGGUUAAGUCCCGCAACGAGCGCAACCCUUGUCAUUAGUUGCUACGAAAGGGCACUCUAAUGAGACUGCCGGUGACAAACCUCGAGGAAGGGGGAUGACGCUUCGGUGUCCGUGUGGUCCUCCUUGGUGGAAGGGCUUCACAUCGCCAUGUUAAAUGGUCGGGACAGAGGGGUCGCCAACCCGCGAGGGGGAGCUAAUCCCAGAAACCGAUCGUAGUCCGGAUCGCAGUCUGCAACUCGACUGCGUGAAGUCGGAAUCGCUAGCAAUCGCGGAUCAGCAUGUCGCGGUGAAUACGUUCCCGGGUCUUGUACACACCGCCCGUCACACCAUGGGAGUGGGUUUUACCAGAAGUAGUUAGCCUAACCGCAAGGGGGGCGAUUACCACGGUAGGAUUCAUGACUGGGGUGUCGUAACAAGGUAG
rnacentral:rRNA from 1 species